rnacentral:rRNA from 1 species
AUUGAACGCUGGCGGCAGGCCUAACACAUGCAAGUCGAACGAGUGGCGGACGGUUGAGUAAUGUCUGGGAAACUGCCCGAUGGAGGGGGAUAACUACUGGAAACGGUGGCUAAUACCGCAUACCAUCGGAUGUGCCCAGAUGGGAUGAGCUGGGAGGUGGGGUAACGGCUCACCUAGGCGACGAUCCCUAGCUGGUCUGGUAGGAUGACAAGUCACACUGGAACGGAGCCACGGUUCAGACUCCUACGGGAGGCAGCAGGGGGGAAUAUUGCACAAUGGGCGCAAUGCUGAUGCAGCCAUGGCGCGUGUAUGAAUAAGGCCUUCGGGUUGUAACGUACUUUCAGCGGGGAGGCGUUACUCGCAGAAGAAGCACCGGCUAACUCCGUGCCAGCAGCCGCGGUAAUAC